rnacentral:rRNA from 1 species
GACGAACGCUGGCGGCGUGCUUACACAUGCAAGUCGAACGGAAAGGCCCUGCUUUUGUGGGGUGCUCGAGUGGCGAACGGGUGAGUAACACGUGAGUAACCUGCCCUUGACUUUGGGAUAACUUCAGGAAACUGGGGCUAAUACCGGAUAGGAGCUCCUGCUGCAUGGUGGGGGUUGGAAAGUUUCGGCGGUUGGGGAUGGACUCGCGGCUUAUCAGCUUGUUGGUGGGGUAGUGGCUUACCAAGGCUUUGACGGGUAGCCGGCCUGAGAGGGUGACCGGCCACAUUGGGACUGAGAUACGGCCCAGACUCCUACGGGAGGCAGCAGUGGGGAAUAUUGCACAAUGGGCGGAAGCCUGAUGCAGCAACGCCGCGUGCGGGAUGACGGCCUUCGGGUUGUAAACCGCUUUCGCCUGUGACGAAGCGUGAGUGACGGUAAUGGGUAAAGAAGCACCGGCUAACUACGUGCCAGCAGCCGCGGUGAUACGUAGGGUGCGAGCGUUGUCCGGAUUUAUUGGGCGUAAAGGGCUCGUAGGUGGUUGAUCGCGUCGGAAGUGUAAUCUUGGGGCUUAACCCUGAGCGUGCUUUCGAUACGGGUUGACUUGAGGAAGGUAGGGGAGAAUGGAAUUCCCGGUGGAGCGGUGGAAUGCGCAGAUAUCAGGAGGAACACCAGUGGCGAAGGCGGUUCUCUGGGCCUUUCCUGACGCUGAGGAGCGAGAGCGUGGGGAGCGAACAGGCUUAGAUACCCUGGUAGUCCACGCUGUAAACGGUGGGUACUAGGUGUGGGGUCCAUUCCACGGGUUCCGUGCCGUAGCUAACGCUUUAAGUACCCCGCCUGGGGAGUACGGCCGCAAGGCUAAAACUCAAAGGAAUUGACGGGGCCCCGCACAAGCGGCGGAGCAUGCGGAUUAAUUCGAUGCAACGCGUAGAACCUUACCUGGGUUUGACAUGGAUCGGGAGUGCUCAGAGAUGGGUGUGCCUCUUUUGGGGUCGGUUCACAGGUGGUGCAUGGCUGUCGUCAGCUCGUGUCGUGAGAUGUUGGGUUAAGUCCCGCAACGAGCGCAACCCUUGUUCACUGUUGCCAGCACGUUAUGGUGGGGACUCAGUGGAGACCGCCGGGGUCAACUCGGAGGAAGGUGGGGAUGACGUCAAGUCAUCAUGCCCCUUAUGUCCAGGGCUUCACGCAUGCUACAAUGGCUGGUACAGAGAGUGGCGAGCCUGUGAGGGUGAGCGAAUCUCGGAAAGCCGGUCUCAGUUCGGAUUGGGGUCUGCAACUCGACCUCAUGAAGUCGGAGUCGCUAGUAAUCGCAGAUCAGCAACGCUGCGGUGAAUACGUUCCCGGGGCU